CUCACCCUCGUACCUUUUGCAUCAUGAUUUAACUAGUCCAACCAAGCAUAAUGAAUUAAAGUUUGACACCCCGAAACUGAAUGAGCUACUCCACGGCAGCUAAACGAGCAAACCCGUCUCUGUUGCAAAAGAGUGGGAAGACCGUCAAGUAGAGGUGAUAAGCCUAUCGAACUCAGUGAUAGCUGGUUUCUCAAGAAAAGAAUCUUAGUUCACCCUAAAGGCCCCCCAAUAAUACAAAUGGUAACACAACUUUAGAGCAAUCCAAACAAGGUACAGCCUGUUUGAAAAAGGAUACAACCUUCACUCGCGGGUAAUGAUACUUACUAACACCAAGUAGGCCUAAAACCAGCCAUCUUAGUAAAAUGCGUUAAAGCUUUAUCUUGCAAAUUUUUCCCCUCUUUUUCCCACCCCCCCAUCACUAUUGAGAACUUCUAUACCAUAUAGAAACUUUUAUGUUAAAACUAGUAACAAGAACUAAUUCUCUUAAAUACACGUGU
rnacentral:rRNA from 1 species